CCGAGAGAUAGCAGCCAUAACAUAUAGAUAAAAAAAUGUCUACAACCUGUUAGUGUUAGUGUUAGUGUUGGUACCUAAAAAACAGGAUCUUUAGUGACAACAAUCCGAAUUUACUUUUCAAAUAUAGGUAAUGAGACUCGAUGAAGUGGAAGGAUCGUAAACUCGGGUGGGAAUUCGUCAUGGCUUGGAGAUAAGGGGCGGUACGGGAACUUCAAAACAGUCGGCUAGACGACACUCGCUCCAAGGAGGGAUUAUCGAGUUUAACGAGAGUUUGUCAAAUGCAGGGACAUGCAAACAAUGCAUCUAGCUGAUUGGCGCCAAAUGGGCCUUCGGAUGGAACUUCGACAGAUCGCUGAUGAUCUCCGCAGUACCCUGAUCACAGCUCACCGCUGACGUUUUUUAUCUCUACAUGUCUUUGAAAAGUGAAGGAGCGAGAACGACUCGACUUGGAGUCGAAAAUAGCUUUGCAUGAGUAAAAAAGACGGUCAAAGGCCACACGCUACCACCCAUACUGCGUCGCACGUUGAGUAAAGGAUCGUUAAGCAAAAGGAAAUUGACUUGCGAUAAAGGUGACUGAAUGGAACCCGAACUAUCAAAACGUGUCAACGAAACGCACUAGGAAGAACAAAAAAUCAAGCAACGUAGUGCCUGGAAUAUGCGGGGAUGGAAUGUAGGUACUUACACCGAAAGACGGCAUCUACAACAACGAUCAAAGAAGAAAGGCCCAGAUGUCAUCUUUUGGAAGCAGCCUUCUAUAAUCCAGUCAAAUUGUGCGGACAUGGAAGAACCCACAACUCCCGUUCAACCCGUCGAUUCUUAUCCAUGACAGGAAAGACACGGAAAUCGCG